rnacentral:rRNA from 1 species
AGAGUUUGAUCAUGGCUCAGGAUGAACGCUGGCGGCGUGCCUAGUACAUGCAAGUCGAACGAACUUCCGUUAAUUGAUUAUGACGUACUUGUACUGAUUGAUAUUUUAACACGAAGUGAGUGGCGAACGGGUGAGUAACACGUGGGUAACCUGCCCAGAAGUAGGGGAUAACACCUGGAAACAGAUGCUAAUACCGUAUAACAGAGAAAACCGCAUGGUUUUCUUUUAAAAGAUGGCUCUGCUAUCACUUCUGGAUGGACCCGCGGCGUAUUAGCUAGUUGGUGAGGUAAAGGCUCACCAAGGCAGUGAUACGUAGCCGACCUGAGAGGGUAAUCGGCCACAUUGGGACUGAGACACGGCCCAGACUCCUACGGGAGGCAGCAGUAGGGAAUCUUCCACAAUGGACGCAAGUCUGAUGGAGCAACGCCGCGUGAGUGAAGAAGGGCUUCGGCUCGUAAAGCUCUGUUGUUAAAGAAGAACGUGGGUAAGAGUAACUGUUUACCCAGUGACGGUAUUUAACCAGAAAGCCACGGCUAACUACGUGCCAGCGGCCGCGGUAAUACGUAGGUGGCAAGCGUUAUCCGGAUUUAUUGGGCGUAAAGCGAGCGCAGGCGGUCUUUUAAGUCUAAUGUGAAAGCCUUCGGCUCAACCGAAGAAGUGCAUUGGAAACUGGGAGACUUGAGUGCAGAAGAGGACAGUGGAACUCCAUGUGUAGCGGUGAAAUGCGUAGAUAUAUGGAAGAACACCAGUGGCGAAGGCGGCUGUCUGGUCUGCAACUGACGCUGAGGCUCGAAAGCAUGGGUAGCGAACAGGAUUAGAUACCCUGGUAGUCCAUGCCGUAAACGAUGAUUACUAAGUGUUGGAGGGUUUCCGCCCUUCAGUGCUGCAGCUAACGCAUUAAGUAAUCCGCCUGGGGAGUA